rnacentral:rRNA from 1 species
UACGAAGGGGGCUAGCGUUGCUCGGAAUCACUGGGCGUAAAGCGCACGUAGGCGGCUUGUUAAGUCAGGGGUGAAAUCCUGGAGCUCAACUCUAGAACUGCCUUUGAUACUGGCGAGCUUGAGUCCGGGAGAGGUGAGUGGAACUGCGAGUGUAGAGGUGAAAUUCGUAGAUAUUCGCAAGAACACCAGUGGCGAAGGCGGCUCACUGGCCCGGUACUGACGCUGAGGCACGAAAGCGUGGGGAGCAAACAGG